UCCGCUAGACAAGGGUUAGAAACAAAGGACAAAAGGAAACAACGCUAUCCAAGUUGAGCAGUAAAAGAGACCAAAGUUUUACCUGACCUUAUCGAAGUAUGGAUUUGUGUUGCAUUUUUGGCUUGUGUCCUCUUGUUAGUCCCAACUAAAGUGGACUUAAUUGAAUUUAAUGCAACUAGGGAUCCAAAUUCUUCACUGCUUUCUCCCCAAGGACGCAGUGAGUAAUUUUUGCAGUUUCCUUCCUCAAAGUCUUGCAAAACCACACAGUAUUUGAGGACCAUUUGGAGUUUGGGUGCCUUCGAUUCAGUAGUUCAACUGUAGUUGGAACUAACAAUAGGAUUUAUUGACAGCUUUAAAAAGUGGGACUUGAUUUCUUGGCAUGGAUAAUCAUGGAACUAGAUCCUCUAAUCGGCCUAAAAACUAACCUGGCAUACUCUUCGUCUUCCCCCAAAACAGUCUGGACUAUGGUUUCCAGCUAUGCUGGGUUGGCCAACACAUAUGACAGGACAAAAGCUAUGGGGAGGCUAUUGAAAUAAACUCUAGAACUACCCAGUUCUAACAUCCUAUUUCUUUGCUUUCAGACUACAUAAGGCUAAAUGUGUCGGUGCCACCUAAGAACCCGUCCGUGUGCCAAUGUCCUGAAUGGUUGGCUUGUCCAUUUCGCAGCCAAGACAUGAGAGAACCAAACGUAGAAAUCUCCCAGCGUGACCUAGGUUGGUGUUUUAAGGAACAAGAAGAGUCGCCCUGGAUAAGCCUCCUUCCCAAAACACCACCACCAACAUGGAAGAGAACAACAAAACGCAAAAAGGACCAUGGGUGUUAAGAGAAUUCACGUCAGGAGAAAUCUGAUGUCAGACUAAAGAUGGGAAACACAGACACGAGAGAACGAGACGGUUAAUCGGGACAAAGGCACGUGACAGACGGACAUUUCUGGACUCUUCUCCACCCGACCCACUUCCCUCCAAUGCUUUGCUGCUGAGUCUCACCCCUGGGGCAACAGGGCCAGGUCUGGCCCAGCCGUGGCUCCGGCCGACUUGAGCCGUGGGCCAUGGGACCGAGGGAGAGGGUGCCCACCUGAUGGAGCGCCAGUUCAGUACGGCCGGUUGGCGUCUUUGGGCCGCUUCAGCUGCACCUUGAGCCGCUUCAU